rnacentral:rRNA from 1 species
GUGUGCCUAUACAUGCAAGUCGUACGCACUGGCCCAACUGAUUGAUGGUGCUUGCACCUGAUUGACGAUGGAUCACCAGUGAGUGGCGGACGGGUGAGUAACACGUAGGUAACCUGCCCCGGAGCGGGGGAUAACAUUUGGAAACAGAUGCUAAUACCGCAUAACAACAAAAGCCACAUGGCUUUUGUUUGAAAGAUGGCUUUGGCUAUCACUCUGGGAUGGACCUGCGGUGCAUUAGCUAGUUGGUAAGGUAACGGCUUACCAAGGCGAUGAUGCAUAGCCGAGUUGAGAGACUGAUCGGCCACAAUGGAACUGAGACACGGUCCAUACUCCUACGGGAGGCAGCAGUAGGGAAUCUUCCACAAUGGGCGCAAGCCUGAUGGAGCAACACCGCGUGAGUGAAGAAGGGUUUCGGCUCGUAAAGCUCUGUUGUUGGAGAAGAACGUGCGUGAGAGUAACUGUUCACGCAGUGACGGUAUCCAACCAGAAAGUCACGGCUAACUACGUGCCAGCAGCCGCGGUAAUACGUAGGUGGCAAGCGUUAUCCGGAUUUAUUGGGCGUAAAGCGAGCGCAGGCGGUUGCUUAGGUCUGAUGUGAAAGCCUUCGGCUUAACCGAAGAAGUGCAUCGGAAACCGGGCGACUUGAGUGCAGAAGAGGACAGUGGAACUCCAUGUGUAGCGGUGGAAUGCGUAGAUAUAUGGAAGAACACCAGUGGCGAAGGCGGCUGUCUGGUCUGCAACUGACGCUGAGGCUCGAAAGCAUGGGUAGCGAACAGGAUUAGAUACCCUGGUAGUCCAUGCCGUAAACGAUGAGUGCUAGGUGUUGGAGGGUUUCCGCCCUUCAGUGCCGGAGCUAACGCAUUAAGCACUCCGCCUGGGGAGUACGACCGCAAGGUUGAAACUCAAAGGAAUUGACGGGGGCCCGCACAAGCGGUGGAGCAUGUGGUUUAAUUCGAAGCUACGCGAAGAACCUUACCAGGUCUUGACAUCUUGCGCUAACCUUAGAGAUAAGGCGUUCCCUUCGGGGACGCAAUGACAGGUGGUGCAUGGUCGUCGUCAGCUCGUGUCGUGAGAUGUUGGGUUAAGUCCCGCAACGAGCGCAACCCUUGUUACUAGUUGCCAGCAUUAAGUUGGGCACUCUAGUGAGACUGCCGGUGACAAACCGGAGGAAGGUGGGGACGACGUCAGAUCAUCAUGCCCCUUAUGACCUGGGCUACACACGUGCUACAAUGGACGGUACAACGAGUCGCAAGCUCGCGAGAGUAAGCUAAUCUCUUAAAGCCGUUCUCAGUUCGGACUGUAGGCUGCAACUCGCCUACACGAAGUCGGAAUCGCUAGUAAUCGCGGAUCAGCAUGCCGCGGUGAAUACGUUCCCGGGCCUUGUACACACCGCCCGUCACACCAUGGGAGUUUGUAACGCCCAAAGUCGGUGGCCUAACCUUUAUGGAGGGAGCCGCCUAAGGC